rnacentral:rRNA from 1 species
AAGACCUUGCGCUUUUGGAGCGGCCGAUGUCUGAUUAGCUUGUUGGUAAGGUAAAAGCUUACCAAGGCUUCGAUCGGUAGCUGGUCUGAGAGGACGGCCAGCCACACUGGGACUGAGACACGGCCCAGACUCCUACGGGAGGCAGCAGUGGGGAAUUUUGGACAAUGGGGGCAACCCUGAUCCAGCCAUGCCGCGUGAGUGAAGAAGGCCUUCGGGUUGUAAAGCUCUUUCAGCCGGAACGAAACGGUUACGGUUAAUACCCGUGACUACUGACGGUACCGGAAGAAGAAGCACCGGCUAACUACGUGCCAGCAGCCGCGGUAAUACGUAGGGUGCAAGCGUUAAUCGGAAUUACUGGGCGUAAAGCGUGCGCAGGUGGUUUUGUAAGUCAGAUGUGAAAUCCCCGGGCUUAACCUGGGAACU